rnacentral:lncRNA from 1 species
GGCUAAUCAUCUCGGUAUAGGUGCAGAUUAGAUGACCUACGCCGACCACCGUCCACUUGUGAUGGUGUCCGUUCCCCUGGGGUUCACCCUCGCCACGCCUACUUCCUCGAGCAGGCACGGGGUCAUCAGCGCCCCUAAGGGCAUCUUCUGAUCUACAAGUAAGUGCUAUUACAUCCUUAAUUAAUUAAGUUUUUAGAUGUUCAUGUCAUUAGGCUAUCAGAUCCUAAGAAUCAGUAAUGUUAAUUUUCUACAUUUGGCAUCAAGAGCCAGGUUAGCCUAAUCAUGAACCCUAAGAUCAAUUUUAAGAUGCAAUUAGCCUUGUCGACUAGUACAUUAUUGUCGCAUUUAUUGUGAAUAUCAAUGUUGUUUAUGUAAUAUCCCUAUUCAGCUAUAAGUUUUCGACUAAUUUCAGUACCCUAUAAGCAAUAUGAAUAAGAUAAUUAUCCAUACACACAAAUUUGACUCUCAUUAGAAAAGUCUUCACAAAUUUAGAACGAUGACAAGAAUCCAACGAUUUUCUCAUCAGUUGAAUGACUAAUGGGAGCAAUCUGAUCAAAGAAGUUUAUCUUCUGUGAUCAUGCUAGUAAAGAUGUGGGGGAGCAAUCCCUAAGACAAAUUGUUUAAGCACAUAUAGCAUUGAUUAGGACUUUUGAGUUCACUCUACUAAGUGCAAAGGUGAACAAUGAUCAAGUGCAAAGUAACGAAAUGUGUGUUCAAAAGGAGUUGGCUAAGUCUAACAUAAAUGGGUGUUGCCGACAUUAUAAGAUAAAGUGGAAUAUAAGCAUCACGAGAGAUCGUUGAAUUGUGGCAUACCACAUUUCGAAAGGGAAAGUGGAAAGUCUCUUUCCAAAGGCUUGUCUCAAUUUAUGCCGGCUUUAUGGAUUGCGACAACCUAUAAUUUUAGGAUAAUUGAGAUCUCAAAUCCUUGAUUUUCUUAUUAUUAAGUGCACAUAAUGAAAUUGAAAACAAUAUGCACAUAAGGACCAUAAGUAAGAAGGUCAUUUCCCAUUAUGAAUAAGUAACUAUCCAAUAGAGGUAGAUUGACACAUUGUAGGCAGUGAAGUUGCAGUGGUGCUUUAUUAACUGUUGUGACACAUUACCUCGUAUGUUUUUUCUACUAUAAGUGGAAAUGAUGAAGAUAAGCCUUAUGAUCAGGGGGAGAGUGUUGGAAUUGAUCUUGGCUUAGUCAAAGAGGACCGAGUCCUAAGGGGUUUACAGACACCCACGUUGUCCUGGUCAAAGGGGCAACAAACCCAACUAAUAGCCUGGUCCCUAGGACGGUCUAUACUAUAAGAAGGGAACCCUUGGUUCCAACGAAAUUAGGCUAAUCAUCUCGGUAUGGGUACAAACUAGAUGACCUACGCCGACCACCAUCCACCUAUGAUGGUGUCCGUUCCCCUGGAGUUCACCCUCGCCACGCCUGCUUCCUCAAGCAGGCACAGGGUCAUCAGCGCCCCUAAGGGCAUCUUCUAAUCUACAAGUCAGUGCUAUUAAGUCCUUAAUUAAUUGAGUUCUUAGGUGUUCAUGUCAUUAGGCUAUCAGAUCUUAAGAUCAGUAAUGUUAAUUUUCUACAUUGUUGGCAUGCAAAGGCUUUGAAGGUCGUCGCGGCAUUAUCACCAAGAAUGAACGGACAAGCAAUAAUAUAGGUUCUCAUACUUGUAUGUACACAGAUAGUCCAUGUUUAUUGAUAUAUAGCCCGGAUGUUAAAAUUGUAUUGCUGAGAAGAUGCUAUUUUCCUCCCCUCAUAGACUACCAUUCCAAAGUAAUCUAGCAAAUAAAUAGUGGGAAGUUCCUGCUUAUAAUGUUUGUCCUAUUACCAAAACCUUCAGACUAAGGGGGUGUUUGGGAGACAGGAGCUAAACUUUAGCCCUGUCACAUCGGAUGUUCGGAUGCUAAUUAGGAGGACUAAAUAUGAGCUAAUUACAAAACUAAUAGCAGAACCCCUAGGCUAAAUCACGAGACAAAUCUAUUAAGCCUAAUUAAUCCAUCAUUAGCGAAUGGCUAUUGUAGCACCACAUUGUCAAAUCAUGAACUAAUUAGACUUAAUAGAUUCGUCUCGCGAUUUAGCCUAGGGGUUGUGCAAUUAGUUUUGUAAUUAGCCUAUGUUUACUACUCCUAAUUAGUGUCCAAACAUCCGAUGUGACACGGGCUAAAGUUUAGCCCCGUCUCCCAAACACCCCCUAAUGUUUCCUUCCCGCCAAUGAGGAAACCAACAAUGUAUAAUGAUACAGAUUGGUUCAGUUCUUGUUUUUAACAAAUUUUCAUGCAUAUCUUUACUCUUUGUAUACAUGUAUUUUCAGAACAAAAGGGUUGAGAAAAUAAUUAUCCUCAAGGAAAUGGGAUCUCCUGAUAUUGAAUUGGAUCAAAGUACCUAGUUCCUUAUGUCUCAUCGACCACGUUCUUGUAAAGUUAGUUACUGCAGCUGGCAGCACUUUGUAGGACCUAGUUUGCUCUGUGUAUAAGCACUUCUUAGGAUCUGACCUGGGUUGUGUGUGGUACUGUUUAAGACUUGUGUUAUUGUACUGU